rnacentral:rRNA from 1 species
UACGUAGGGUGCGAGCGUUGUCCGGAAUUAUUGGGCGUAAAGAGCUCGUAGGCGGUCUGUCGCGUCUGGUGUGAAAACUCGGGGCUUAACCCCGGGCCUGCAUCGGGUACGGGCAGACUAGAGUGCGGUAGGGGAGACUGGAAUUCCUGGUGUAGCGGUGAAAUGCGCAGAUAUCAGGAGGAACACCGGUGGCGAAGGCGGGUCUCUGGGCCGUAACUGACGCUGAGGAGCGAAAGCAUGGGGAGCGAACAGG